GACGAACGCUGGCGGCGUGCUUAACACAUGCAAGUCGAACGGAAAGGCCCUGCUUUUGUGGGGUGCUCGAGUGGCGAACGGGUGAGUAACACGUGAGUAACCUGCCCUUGACUUUGGGAUAACUUCAGGAAACUGGGGCUAAUACCGGAUAGGAGCUCCUGCUGCAUGGUGGGGGUUGGAAAGUUUCGGCGGUUGGGGAUGGACUCGCGGCUUAUCAGCUUGUUGGUGGGGUAGUGGCUUACCAAGGCUUUGACGGGUAGCCGGCCUGAGAGGGUGACCGGCAAAAUGGGAACAGGAAAAGGGCCCAGACCCGUCGGGGGGGCAGGAGGGGGGAAUAUUGCACAAUGGGGGGAAGCCGGAGCGAGCACCGCCGCGGGGGGGAUGACGGCCUUCGGGUUGAAACCCGUUUUGGCCUGGAACGAAGGGGGGGGGACGGUAAGGGGUAAAAAAGCCCCGGCUAACUACGU
rnacentral:rRNA from 1 species